rnacentral:sRNA from 1 species
CAUGGCUGACAGUGGGGAUCUCAUCAGUGCAGCGAGGGGAUGGAAGCAGCCUCUUGUACACAUUGGUCUCCCUGUUCCGUGUUUCCUCUAAGGCUGAGCAGAAACGUCUCACGGUGCUGGUCCACCUGGCAGAUUCUGACCUCACCUGGCUCAGAGAAACUCUUGCCCAUAUUUCAAGCCUCUUCAGCCCACAGAUCUUGAAAGGGCAGUUGCUACUGAUCCAUGCUCCAUCCGAUGCCUACCCCACUGUGGACAGUAUCAGGGAUGAGGCCUUUCGUGGCGAAUUCUACUCCAAGCAGAACGUAGAUCAUGCCUUCCUCAUGAGCUUUGCCACAAAGCUCUCUGAUUACUUCCUGUUAAUAGAGGACAAUGCCUUUUUUGCCCCUAACUUUGUCACCCACAUUCAUUCAAGGGUGACCACCAUGAAGUCCAACUCGUGGGUGCUACUGGAGUUCUCCAAUAUGGGCUUCCUUGGCAAACUCUUCCACAGCAGGGACCUCCCGCUCCUGGCCCAUUUCCUCCUCCUCUUUUACAAGGAGAAAUCCCUUGACAGCCUGAUUUCUCAUUUCCGUACACUCCUGGUCCAGGAAAGCCCAAUCCUCUGCAAACCUUUCCUCUUCUACCGCAGGGUCUCCUACACCGCCUUUGAUCACAAGCAGAAGGCCACAGCACUUCAGAAAAAGAAUGCUGAUGGUCCCAACAACCCGCCUGGAGCUGUCUUCACUGAUAUGCAGGUUUCCGAUGUGCAUUUCCCCUGGGAGGCCUACACUCUGGAUGAGUCAUUCUUUUGGACACACAACAUUAGUAUAGGAAGCCACCUGACAGUGAUUCUGAACCAUCCAGCAAACCUGAGCAGGGUUCAAGUGAUGACGGGCUCCAUUGUGGAUGGGAGGUACGCCCUGGAGAAGGGGCAGGUGGAGCUGGGCUACCAACC